rnacentral:lncRNA from 1 species
GGGAAGAAAAAAAUCGUAAUGAAAGACAAAAUAUUUGCAAUAGAUCAAAAUGACAAUCAAGUGGAAAACUUUAGAAUGCAGUUGGCAUAUUGGAAGAAAUAUUGACAUUUUCUUUCAGAAGUUAUACCUAAGGAAUGAGUGUUUUAAAUAUGUUUAAUGCAUUUAAAAUAUAAAUUUAUAUCCUAACCCUAAAAAGUGAGGGUGAAAUAAACAAUUUUAGGUUUGUUAAGAGCUAUCUUGCUAAGAUAUUUAUUAAUAUAUUUAUUAAUUUCACAUCCAGCAACCACAUCAUUUUAGUGAAGUUGAUUAUAUGGAAAAAAAUACAACGUUUUAAAAAGUAUUCCACCAAAAGGAAUGAGUGAUACAAAUCAUGACUCUUUUAAAAUGCUUUGUUUCUGAGCAAGUAGAAUAUUUUGAAUAAAAUAUAAUUUGUAUAAGCAUACAACAAAUAAAAAAAUUGUGUAUAUUAUUAGGGAAUUAGAUUUCACAGAAAACCUAUUAGACUAAUAACAAAAUGUGAAAGAUUUAUCCCAAAACUAAUAUACCUCCUAAGUAACAGAACAUUGGUUUCACUAAAAACAAACUUCCUUGUCAACUUCGGAGGAGCCAUAAUAUCUCUUCCUCACAACUGCUAAACAUAUAUUUUAACAAGAAUCAUAUUGUGUCAUUGAAAGGCAUGCAAAGCAUUUAAAAUAUAAUAGUAUAUGAUUAAUUAUUUGACCAUUAUGGUGCUUACCAACAUUCAUAAUUUCUUAGUUUUCAGUAAUUUCUAAAUUUAAAAGUGUUUUUGUUAUAAUUAUUAUUUUUGUUGUUUUUAAAUGCUCUAGGAAAAAUUUUUAGUUAGAAUGAAACCAGUUAGCUAAAGGGACUGGUCAGCAAAUAUAUAAAUUAUAAAUUAUCAGAUGUUUUGACGAUGCUAAUACCAAUUGUGUGGAAUUGACAGUAGGUAUCAGAUUUAUGAAGACAAGCUAUUCUGACCUCCAAACUGGUUAAAGUUCAUUAAAAUAAUCUUCUAUUUUUGUUUAACUCAUUUAUUUGCAAAGCCUUUUCUGCAAAAGAUUCAAAUGCUGGAACUGCCAUGCUCAGUUUUACAUACAUACAUAUAUAUAUUGUAUAUAUUUUAAUGUCAGAUCUAUUUAUGUGUACUACUUAGCUAUACUGCCAUAACAGAACUUAAAAUGACUACAGAAAAUGUUCUAUUUUCAAAGAGUAUUUUAUUCUAAAUACAGCAUUAUGAGAGGACCUAUUAAUUAUUGAUCUUUUAUCAGUAUGCUUAGAUCAGAACCUCAUGCUGGUUUGUUAUAUGGCCAGGUUUUUUUUAAUAAAUGUUUUUGUGUCAGUUUCACGUGUAAUCAAGUCAAUAAAAUUAGUUAUAUUUUUGUGUACUUACCUUCUAAGAUGUUAUGCUUCUAAAUGUUAGACUUCUGUUCUGGCAAAUAAAAAUUUUAUAUCUUA